rnacentral:rRNA from 1 species
GGAGGUUGGCUUAGAAGCAGCCAUCCUUGAAAGAGUGCGUAAUAGCUCACUGGUCAAGUGGUUCCGCGCCGACAAUGUAGCGGGGCUUAAGCACACCGCCGACGCCGCGGCAGUCCAUCGUGGUCCUAGCCUGUCCGUUGGGCGGGUUCAGGGGGUGGGCUGGGUAGGGGAGCGUCCCGCGUUGGGUGAAGUCUCGGGGUGACCCGGGGUGGACGGCGUGGGAGUGAGAAUGCAGGCAUGAGUAGCGAGAGGCGGGUGAGAAACCCGUCCGCCGAUUGACUAAGGGUUCCAGGGCCAGGUUGAUCCGCCCUGGGUUAGUCGGGUCCUAAGGCGAGGCCGACGGGCGUAGUCGAUGGACAACGGGUUGAUAUUCCCGUACCGGCGCUUGACCGUUCAAUGUUCGCCGGGGUGAUGCUAACCAUCCCCGAUCCUGUGUGUCUCUUUCGGGAGGCGUGUGGGGGAGGGCGUGGGGUCCGAGCCUGGGUGGGCAAGCGUGGUAACAGGUGUGACGCAGAGUGGUAGUCCAACCGUGUCGUAUGGCUGAGCACGGCUAAGGGUGCAGCCCGUCUCCCAGGUAAAUCCGGGGGGCGUUCGGGUCAGGCCUGAUGGGGACCGUUUGACGGGAAGUGGAUGAUCCUGUGCUGCCGAGAAAAGCAUCGACGUCAGGGCAAGCGCCGCCCGUACCCGAAACCGACACAGGUGGUCAGGUAGAGUAUACCGAGGCGUGCGAGUCAAUCGUGGUUAAGGAACUCGGCAAAAUGCCCCCGUAACUUCGGGAGAAGGGGGGCCCCGGUCUUGACGUCCCCGUGCGGGGCGGAGGGGUCGGGGCCGCAGAGUCCAGGGAGAAGCGACUGUUUAUCAAAAACACAGGUCCGUGCUAAGCCGCAAGGCGAUGUAUACGGACUGACGCCUGCCCGGUGCUGGAAGGUUAAGCGGACUGGUCAGCCCUUCGGGGUGAAGCUGGGAAGUUAAGCCCCAGUAAACGGCGGUGGUAACUAUAACCAUCCUAAGGUAGCGAAAUUCCUUGUCGGGUAAGUUCCGACCUGCACGAAUGGCGUAACGACUUCUCCGCUGUCUCAACCAUGAACUCGGUGAAAUUGCAGUACGAGUAAAGAUGCUCGUUUCGCGCAGCAGGACGGAAAGACCCCGGGACCUUUACUAUAGCUUGGUAUUGGUGUUCGGUACGGCUUGUGUAGGAUAGGUGGGAGACUGUGAACCGGUCACGCUAGUGGGCGGGGAGUCGUUGGUGAAAUACCACUCUGGCCGUGCUGACCAUCUAACCUCGGUCCGUGAUCCGGGCCAGGGACAGUGCCUGGUGGGUAGUUUAACUGGGGCGGUUGCCUCCUAAAGGGUAACGGAGGCGCUCAAAGGUUCCCUCAGCCUGGUCGGCAACCAGGUGGCGAGUGUAAGUGCACAAGGGGGCUUGACUGUGAGACUGACGGGUCGAGCAGGUACGAAAGUAGGAACUAGUGAUCCGGCGGUGGCUUGUGGAAGCGCCGUCGCUCAACGGAUAAAAGGUACCCCGGGGAUAACAGGCUGAUCCUGCCCAAGAGUCCAUAUCGACGGCAUGGUUUGGCACCUCGAUGUCGGCUCGUCGCAUCCUGGGGCUGGAGUCGGUCCCAAGGGUUGGGCUGUUCGCCCAUUAAAGCGGUACGCGAGCUGGGUUCAGAACGUCGUGAGACAGUUCGGUCCCUAUCCGCUGCGCGCGUAGGAGAAUUGAGAAGGGCUGUCCCUAGUACGAGAGGACCGGGACGGACGAACCUCUGGUGUGCCAGUUGUUCCGCCAGGAGCAUGGCUGGUUGGCUACGUUCGGGAGGGAUAACCGCUGAAAGCAUCUAAGCGGGAAGCCUGCUUCAAGAUAAGUUCUCCAUCCAGCCUGUGUGCUGGGUGAGGUCCCCCGCAGACGACGGGGUUGAUAGGCCGGACGUGGACGCCUCGUAAGGGGUGGAGCUGACCGGUACUAAUGGACCGACCGCCUACACCAU